AGAAUGAGUUUCUUACUGAACAACUCUCUAAAGCUCGGGCGAAGUUCAGUACCUUAAAAGGUAAGCUCCAUGAGACAAGAGAUGCUCUCAGGGAAAAGUCAUUGGCUUUAGAAAGUGUACAGAUGGACCUAAGGCAAACACAGCAUUGAAUAAAGGAAAUGGAGCAGAUGCAUCCAAAUGAGGAAGCUAAAGAGAGUCAAUCCAUCAGGAAGCAGAACUCUUUAGAGGAGAGAAUAUGUCAACAAGAAUUCGAAAAUCUCUUGCUUGAACAACUAGAGGAUGCUCAUAAGGAAGGCAAUAAUAAAGAGAUAGUCAUUAAUAUUCAAGGAGACUGUCUUGAGAGCGGAAAGGAAGGUCUUCUAGAAGAAAAAACGAAGAAAUUAAUGAGUGAAUAUAAUUAUUUAAAAGAAAAACUGUUUCAGUAUGAAAAAGAAGAAGCAGAAGGAGAAGUGUUUGUGAGACAACUUCAAGAAGAACUGGCCAAUCACCUUAAAAAAUUUCCUGUAUCAGAGUCUCCACUGGAAGGUACAUCACAUUGUCACAUUAAUUUGGAUGAGACACGGGCUUCAAAGGAGAAAUUAUUUCAAGUAGGAAGUCAACCUGAACCAAAAAAUGAAGAAUUAAGAAAACUUCUUGAGUUAAUGUCAUCACUGGAGUAUAAUGUGGAUC